rfam:Triticum aestivum genome assembly, contig: Triticum_aestivum_CS42_TGACv1_scaffold_130560_2BL
GUUGUACUCCCUCCGUCCGGAAAUACUUGUCAUCAAAAUAGAUAAAAAGGGAUGUAUCUAGAAGUACAUCCCCUUUUAUCCAUUUUGAUGACAAAUAUUUUCGGACGGAUACAUCCCCUUUUAUCUAUUUUGAUGACAAAUAUUUCCGGAUGGAGGGAGUACAAC